rnacentral:rRNA from 1 species
GACGAACGCUGGCGGCGUGCCUAAUACAUGCAAGUCGAACGAAGCUGUUUUAACUGGUGCUUGCACCGACUUAAACAACUGAGUGGCGAACGGGUGAGUAACACGUGGGUAACCUGCCCCAAAGCGGGGGAUAACAUUUGGAAACAGAUGCUAAUACCGCAUAACCACAGAAACCACAUGGUUUCUGUGUCAAAGAUGGUUUCGGCUAUCACUUUGGGAUGGACCCGCGGCGUAUUAGCUAGUUGGUAAGGUAAUGGCUUACCAAGGCAAUGAUACGUAGCCGGACUGAGAGGUUGAUCGGCCACAUUGGGACUGAGACACGGCCCAAACUCCUACGGGAGGCAGCAGUAGGGAAUCUUCCACAAUGGACGAAAGUCUGAUGGAGCAACGCCGCGUGAGUGAAGAAGGUUUUCGGAUCGUAAAACUCUGGUGUCAGAGAAGAACAGCUAGAAUAGGGAAUGAUUUUAGUUUGACGGUACCAUACCAGAAAGGGACGGCUAAAUACGUGCCAGCCGCCGCCGUAA